rnacentral:rRNA from 1 species
GACGAACGCAGGCGGCGUGCCUAAUACAUGCAAGUAGAACGCUGAAGGAGGAGCUUGCUCUUCUGGAUGAGUUGCGAACGGGUGAGUAACGCGUAGGUAACCUGCCUGGUAGCGGGGGAUAACUAUUGGAAACGAUAGCUAAUACCGCAUAAGAGUAGAUAUCGCAUGAUAGCUGCUUGAAAGGUGCAGUUGCACCACUACCAGAUGGACCUGCGUUGUAUUAGCUAGUUGGUGAGGUAACGGCUCACCAAGGCAACGAUACAUAGCCGACCUGAGAGGGUGAUCGGCCACACUGGGACUGAGACACGGCCCAGACUCCUACGGGAGGCAGCAGUAGGGAAUCUUCGGCAAUGGACGAAAGUCUGACCGAGCAACGCCGCGUGAGUGAAGAAGGUUUUCGGAUCGUAAAGCUCUGUUGUAAGAGAAGAACGAGUGUGAGAGUGGAAAGUUCACACUGUGACGGUAUCUUACCAGAAAGGGACGGCUAACUACGUGCCAGCAGCCGCGGUAAUACGUAGGUCCCGAGCGUUGUCCGGAUUUAUUGGGCGUAAAGCGAGCGCAGGCGGUUAGAUAAGUCUGAAGUUAAAGGCUGUGGCUUAACCAUAGUACGCUUUGGAAACUGUUUAACUUGAGUGCAAGAGGGGAGAGUGGAAUUCCAUGUGUAGCGGUGAAAUGCGUAGAUAUAUGGAGGAACACCGGUGGCGAAAGCGGCUCUCUGGCUUGUAACUGACGCUGAGGCUCGAAAGCGUGGGGAGCAAACAGG